GACCACCAUUAUUCCUUUUACACGGAAUCCCUUUAUCAUCAUACCCACGUUACUGUGAUGGCUGAAAAUUGUUAGCUAACAUUAAGAUCCAUUGAAGAACACUUUAUCGGUCAUUCCCCUCUGGAACGUCUGAAAAAGUAGCCUUAUGGUUUCCUUUGUUUUCUACUUAAGUUGGAAUUAUGAAGAAAUUCUGCAAGGGAGACUGAAAAGCUUUCCAGAGCACAAAGCUUGGGUGCGUUGAACUAGCUGUAAAAAGAUGUAGAUUCUGUUUUGAAGAAGAACCUGUUUAAAUAGAACUGCUGUAUAUUCGUGUUGGCGAGUACAAAGCUAACUGCUUUUGUUCUUGUGUUUUGUAAGCUGAAUACAGAGAUCGUUAUGUUAUCUCUUGUGAUGUAGGUGAGACCUCACGUGUUUCAGUAGCGACAUCUCCUUUUUUUAUUCUAAUUCUCUAGAGUCUGUCAAGAUUUCCCAUAACAGUCUUCUGUUCUGCUCCAACUGCCUAUCGAAUGUUGGUGCAACAUAGACUGUCCAGCUACAAAUUCAGAAGCCUGCGGCACUGUGUGAGUGCCGGGGAGCCAAUCAACCCUGAAGUGAUGGGA